CCCUUAGAUGUCCGGGGCCGCACGCGCGCUACACUGAAGGAAUCAGCGUGGCUUUCUCCCUGACCCGAAAGGGUUGGGAAACCCGUUGAAUCUCCUUCGUGAUAGGGAUUGGGGCUUGAAAUUGUUCCCCAUGAACGAGGAAUUCCCAGUAAGCGCGAGUCAUAAGCUCGCGUUGAUUACGUCCCUGCCCUUUGUACACACCGCCCGUCGCUACUACCGAUUGAAUGCUCAGGUGAGCCAUUCGGACUUUCAUCAUGCUGGUUUCCAGUUUUGAUGAAGGAAAGUCUUGCGAACCUUAUCAUUUAGAGGAAGGAGAAGUCGUAACA
rnacentral:rRNA from 1 species